rnacentral:tRNA from 1 species
GGAUUGUGCCUUAGCGGUAGAGCACUCGCCUAGCAUGUGUGAGGCUCUGGGUUUGAUCCUCAGCACCA